CCUACGGGAGGCUGCAGUGGGGAAUAUUGGACAAUGGGCGAAAGCCUGAUCCAGCCAUGCCGCGUGUGUGAAGAAGGCCUUCGGGUUGUAAAGCACUUUCAGUGGGGAAGAAAGCCUUGGGGCUAAUACCCUCGAGGAAGGACAUCACCCACAGAAGAAGCACCGGCUAACUCCGUGCCAGCAGCCGCGGUAAUACGGAGGGUGCGAGCGUUAAUCGGAAUUACUGGGCGUAAAGCGCGCGUAGGCGGUCUGAUAAGCCGGUUGUGAAAGCCCCGGGCUCAACCUGGGAACGGCAUCCGGAACUGUCAGGCUAGAGUGCAGGAGAGGGAGGUAGAAUUCCCGGUGUAGCGGUGAAAUGCGUAGAGAUCGGGAGGAAUACCAGUGGCGAAGGCGGCCUUCUGGACUGACACUGACGCUGAGGUGCGAAAGCGUGGGUAGCAAACAGGAUUAGAUACCCCGGUAGUC
rnacentral:rRNA from 1 species